AACUGAGGAUAAUACCGGAUAGGCAAUUAUUCCUGUAAUGGUUUUUUGUUUAAAUGUUUUUUCGCCUAAGGAUGAGUCUGCGGCCGAUUAGGUAGUUGGUUAGGUAAUGGCUUACCAAGCCGUUGAUCGGUACGGGUUGUGAGAGCAAGAGCCCGGAGAUGGAACCUGAGACAAGGUUCCAGGCCCUACGGGGUGCAGCAGGCGCGAAACCUCCGCAAUGUGAGAAAUCGCGACGGGGGGAUCCCAAGUGCCAUUCUUAACGGGAUGGCUUUUCAUUAGUGUAAAGAGCUUUUGGAAUAAGAGCUGGGCAAGACCGGUGCCAGCCGCCGCGGUAACACCGGCAGCUCUAGUGGUAACAAUUUUUAUUGGGCCUAAAGCGUCCGUAGCCGGUUUAAUAAGUCUCUGGUGAAAUCCUGUAGCUUAACUGUGGGAAUUGCUGGAGAUACUAUUA
rnacentral:rRNA from 1 species